ACAUUUAUUGAAGAUUUAAGUCCAAGAAAUGCCACCUUAAAUAUGUUGUUUAACAGUCUCAAGCCAUUUCCCAUGAAGUGCAUUGUACCAACUCACUCUAUAGUCAUUGAACAGGGGCCAGCAAUUGUUUGGGAUUAGGCAGUUAGCAACAUCAAUCCUGUGUUGUUGUGACAACAUACAGAACAUAACAUAUUCAUUUAGAACAAUAUAUAUUCUGCAUAUAUCUGUCAUUCAUCAUGGAUCACAUAAUCUUAGAACUAACCCAGGCCAUCCUCAUUGCUUUACUCUCAUUGCUCAAGUAAAGCAAAGAGAAUCUGCUUCAUUUCUCUUUGGGGGGAAAACUAACUCAACUACACCUUAAUCAAAAAUCAGUCAGGUCAAUUCUCACAAGCUAAAACCUUCAUAUCUUAUGGAUCCAUGAAAAAAUAGUAGUUAUUAUUUAUCCCAUUCCAAAACCUCACAUACUUUAGGUUGCAAUGACCACCACUACGAAAGUCCUAAAAUUUUUUUAUCCUUCAUAACAUUCAAAAAGCAAGAUAAGGAUUAAGCCCCAUAUUUUCCUAUGUUGUUUGAAAUGGAUAAAAAAGCCAAACUUCAACAACUCCUUUACCAUCCUAGGAGGCAACCAAAAA
rnacentral:misc_RNA from 1 species